GUGAACCAGUACCGUGAGGGAAAGGCGAAAAGAACCCCGGCGAGGGGAGUGAAAAAGAACCUGAAACCGUGUACGUACAAGCAGUGGGAGCACCCUUUGGGGUGUGACUGCGUACCUUUUGUAUAAUGGGUCAGCGACUUAUAUUCUGUAGCAAGGUUAACCGAAUAGGGGAGCCGGAGGGAAACCGAGUCUUAAUUGGGCGUUAAGUUGCAGGGUAUAGACCCGAAACCCGGUGAUCUAGCCAUGGGCAGGUUGAAGGUUGGGUAACACUAACUGGAGGACCGAACCGACUAAUGUUGAAAAAUUAGCGGAUGACCUGUGGCUGGGGGUGAAAGGCCAAUCAAACCGGGAGAUAGCUGGUUCUCCCCGAAAGCUAUUUAGGUAGCGCCUCGUGAAUUCAUCUCCGGGGGUAGAGCACUGUUUCGGCUAGGGGGCCAUCCCGGCUUACCAACCCGAUGCAAACUGCGAAUACCGGAGAAUGUUAUCACGGGAGACACACGGCGGGUGCUAACGUCCGUCGUGAAGAGGGAAACAACCCAGACCGCCAGCUAAGGUCCCAAAGUCAUGGUUAAGUGGGAAACGAUGUGGGAAGGCCCAGACAGCCAGGAUGUUGGCUUAGAAGCAGCCAUCAUUUAAAGAAAGCGUAAUAGCUCACUGGUCGAGUCGGCCUGCGCGGAAGAUGUAACGGGGCUAAACCAUGCACCGAAGCUGCGGCAGCGAACGUAUCACCCAAGACAACUUUACGGAGUUGACGAUUGACGGAGCGAAGCGACGUCAAAGCGUUCAUUAAAGUCGAGUUGGCUUAGGGAUACGUUCGUUGGGUAGGGGAGCGUUCUGUAAGCCUGUGAAGGUGUGUCGUGAGGCAUGCUGGAGGUAUCAGAAGUGCGAAUGCUGACAUAAGUAACGAUAAAGCGGGUGAAAAGCCCGCUCGCCGGAAGACCAAGGGUUCCUGUCCAACGUUAAUCGGGGCAGGGUGAGUCGACCCCUAAGGCGAGGCCGAAAGGCGUAGUCGAUGGGAAACGGGUUAAUAUUCCCGUACUUGGUGUUACUGCGAAGGGGGGACGGAGAAGGCUAUGUUGGCCGGGCGACGGUUGUCCCGGUUUAAGCGUGUAGGUGUGUGUUCCAGGUAAAUCCGGUUCACUU
rnacentral:rRNA from 1 species